rnacentral:rRNA from 1 species
UACCGGAUAACAACAAUAGCUGCAUGGCUAUUGCUUAAAAGGCGGCGAAAGCUGUCGCUAAAGGAUGGACCCGCGGUGCAUUAGCUAGUUGGUAAGGUAAUGGCUUACCAAGGCGACGAUGCAUAGCCGAGUUGAGAGACUGAUCGGCCACAUUGGGACUGAGACACGGCCCAAACUCCUACGGGAGGCAGCAGUAGGGAAUCUUCCACAAUGGGCGAAAGCCUGAUGGAGCAACGCCGCGUGAGUGAAGAAGGUUUUCGGAUCGUAAAGCUCUGUUGUUGGUGAAGAAGGAUAGAGGUAGUAACUGGCCCCUAUUUGACGGUAAUCAACCAGAAAGUCACGGCUAACUACGUGCCAGCAGCCGCGGUAAUACGUAGGUGGCAAGCGUUGUCCGGAUUUAUUGGGCGUAAAGCGAGCGCAGGCGGAAAGAUAAGUCUGAUGUGAAAGCCCCCGGCUUAACCGAGGAAUUGCAUCGGAAACUGUGUUUCUUGAGUGCAGAAGAGGAGAGUGGAACUCCAUGUGUAGCGGUGGAAUGCGUAGAUAUAUGGAAGAACACCAGUGGCGAAGGCGGCUCUCUGGUCUGUAACUGACGCUGAGGCUCGAAAGCAUGGGUAGC